UACAGAGGUGGCAAGCGUUGUUCGGAAUUAUUGGGCGUAAAGGGCGCGUAGGCGGUGCGGUAAGUCACCUGUGAAAUCUCCUGGCUCAACUGGGAGCUUGCAGGCGAAACUGCCGUGCUGGAGUGUGGGAGAGGUGCGUGGAAUUCCUGGUGUAGCGGUGAAAUGCGUAGAUAUCAGGAGGAACACCUGUGGCGAAAGCGGCGCACUGGACCACAACUGACGCUGAGGCGCGAAAGCUAGGGGAGCAAACAGG
rnacentral:rRNA from 1 species